rnacentral:rRNA from 1 species
GGCGGCGUGCCUAAUACAUGCAAGUCGAGCGGACCGACGGGAGCUUGCUCCCUUAGGUCAGCGGCGGACGGGUGAGUAACACGUGGGUAACCUGCCUGUAAGACUGGGAUAACUCCGGGAAACCGGGGCUAAUACCGGAUGCUUGAUUGAACCGCAUGGUUCAAUCAUAAAAGGUGGCUUUUAGCUACCACUUACAGAUGGACCCGCGGCGCAUUAGCUAGUUGGUGAGGUAACGGCUCACCAAGGCGACGAUGCGUAGCCGACCUGAGAGGGUGAUCGGCCACACUGGGACUGAGACACGGCCCAGACUCCUACGGGAGGCAGCAGUAGGGAAUCUUCCGCAAUGGACGAAAGUCUGACGGAGCAACGCCGCGUGAGUGAUGAAGGUUUUCGGAUCGUAAAACUCUGUUGUUAGGGAAGAACAAGUACCGUUCGAAUAGGGCGGCACCUGAC